rnacentral:rRNA from 1 species
ACCCUUAGAUGUUCUGGGCCGCACGCGCGCUACACUGCUUUGUUCAACAAGUUUGAUUUCCCUGCUUUCGAAAGGGGUGGGUAAUCUUUUAAACGCAAAGCGUGCUUGGGAUCGAUUUUUGCAAUUUUAAAUCGUCAACGAGGAAUCCCUUGUAUUUGCAAGUCAUCAACUUGCAGAGAAUACCGUCCCUGCUCUUUGUACACACCGCCCGUCGCACCUACCGAUUGAGAGCAUAGGUGAAAACUCAGGAUCUUAUCUCUUGGACCUUCGGGUACCUUUAGAUUAGAGAAUUUGUUUAAACCUCCGUUCUUAGAGGAAGGUGAAGUCGUAACA